CCUACGGGAGGCAGCAGUGGGGGAUAUUGCACAAUGGGGGAAACCCUGAUGCAGCGACGCCGCGUGUGGGAAGACGGUCUUCUGGAUUGUAAACCACUGUCCCCAGGGACGAAAAUUACGGUACCUGGGGAGGAAGCUCCGGCUAACUACGUGCCAGCAGCCGCGGUAAUACGUAGGGAGCAAGCGUUGUCCGGAAUUACUGGGUGUAAAGGGAGCGUAGGCGGGGAUGCAAGUUGGGUGUCAAAACUACCGGCUCAACCGAGAGUCGCACUCAAAACUGCAGCUCUUGAGUGAAGUAGAGGCAGGCGGAAGUCCUAGUGUAGCGGUGAAAUGCGUAGAUAUUAGGAAGAACACCAGUGGCGAAGGCGGCCUGCUGGGCUUUUACUGACGCUGAGGCUCGAAAGUGUGGGGAGCAAACAGGAUUAGAUACCCGAGUAGUC
rnacentral:rRNA from 1 species